AUACCUGGGGUCAUGUGCCUGCCCGAAGUCCAAUUCCGAUUGUGGCUUUGGAUGUGCCAUUGCGGGUGAAAGUCCCGUACGGGUAGGCUGUUCAUGAUCCUCAGAUGUGUGUGCUUUCGAGUCGGAUUGCUUGAGAAUGCAGUCCAAAGAGGGUGGUAAACUCCAUCCAAGGCUAAAUACUGGUACGAGUCCGAUAGUAAACAAGUACCGUGAGGGAAAGUUGAAAAGUACUCUGAAGAGAGAGUAAAUAGUACGUGAAACCGAUUGCAGGGAAGCUGGUGGAGUCAAGCUUCAUGCUGGAAGAUUUGUCAUCGGAAUUUGUGUUGUGUUUGGGCACAGUAUGGUCAAUUUGGAAAGAAUUGGGUGGUUUCGGCUACUUCAAGUCGUUCCGGGUUGUACGUUUGGGCCGGUGCUGUGUUCUGGUUUCGGUGAUUAAUUCUUCAUGGCAUAGAUCACGGUCGAUGGUGAUAUGUUGUGUGAUUGUCUAACUGUGCUCCGGUGGGUGCAAACUUGUCGGGUGCAGUAUGGUAGGUGUCGCUCGUGCC
rnacentral:rRNA from 1 species